UUGCUUUCGGUUGAAUACUAGCUAGCAACGACUAUCAGCACUGAACACAUAUUUUUAACCGAUAAUCUAAUCAAUUUUAUAUAAAAGUGGCUAAUUUUAAGUACCAUCUUUAUUGGCAUUGUUUAUAAAAUAAGGUUUCAAUAAAAAAUGUCAACAAUUUCCACUAAGUUUAUUUCUUUACAUGGUAACUACCCAUUUGCUACAUAUUAAAACAUUUUUAUAAAGGGGUAUAUGUGUACUUUUCAAAAUUGUUGGCCCGUUCUUUUCCAUAUAAGCCCCAUGGAAGCGCCAGUGUGAAAAACCCCCGUUAUGCAUAUUUUUACAUUCCUUUUUUUUAUAUUUUUGAAAACAUUGAGAUUUUGAUGGCAAGUGAUCAAGAUUUCGAUGAUUUCCCGCAUUAAUAAUCGAUGUGGCUCUAAAUUGCAUUUUUACACGACUUCUACAUUGGGGCAUUGGCUAAGAGGGUGAGUGCAUAACCUUAAUAUACUGGAAAAUACUAUGGAAAGUAUUUUUAUAUUUUGCAAGGUGUGUGAACCAGACAUUGUGGCAAGAAAAUUAGUGUACUAAGUGACUUGGCGAUCAAAUAUACGGUCUGAAAUAUGCCACAUAUACCCACUUAAGACCCCUCUAUUUAAACAGUCAUUGUAGAUACCUCCUAUCCCUUCUUUUACUCACAAAAAAAAACCCACUAUAUCCACGAUUUUCACUAUUUUCGGUGCAAUAUUAAAAUACCCCUUUGGCAUACAAUAGGCUAAUCGUUCUGUGAUUUGAUAUUAUUAGCUUGCUAGGACUUUAUAGCUGAACAUGAAGUUUAUCCGAUUGAUAGAUUAUUUUUAUAAAAUAGUAGCCAACUUUUGCUAGUCAUUCUUAUUGGAUUUGUUUAGAAUUUUCACGAGUUUUCAAAGUGAAAAUUUUGAAAAAUAUACCGCUAAAAAUUAUUGUGUAAAAAAAGCACUACCUUUAAAAAAAACUGCAUACAAAAUACCAGAUUAAAUUGUUAAACAAAUUCCAAGUCCCCAAUCUAUCAAAAAAAGUUUCCUUGCCAGGUAAAAAAGAGUUUAAAUAAAGGGGCUUAAGUGGGCUAAGUUCGUUUUUUCAUCGGUAUGGCACGCUGAAAAGGCGCCAUUCUUAAGAAGCGUCCCUCCAUUUUUUUUAAACUAAUAAA